rnacentral:rRNA from 1 species
AGCAGCCGCGGUAAUUCCAGCUCCAAUAGCGUAUAUUAAAGUUGUUGCAGUUAAAAAGCUCGUAGUUGAAUUUCGGGAUCAAUGCGUCGGUCGUGCUUUCGGGUACGUACUGGUGUCAUUGGUUUCUCCUUCUGACGAGCCGUGAUGUCAUUAAUUUGGUGUUACGGGUAGUUAGGACUGUUACUUUGAAAAAAUUAGAGUGUUUAAAGCAGGCAUUAGCUUGAAUACAUUAGCAUGGAAUAAUGAAAUAGGACGUUCGAUCCUAUUUUGUUGGUUUCUAGGAUCAACGUAAUGAUUAAUAGGGAUAGUUGGGGGCAUUAGUAUUCAAUUGUCAGAGGUGAAAUUCUUGGAUUUAUUGAAGACUAACUACUGCGAAAGCAUUUGCCAAGGAUGUUUUCAUUAAUCAAGGACGAAAGUUAGGGGAUCGAAGACGAUCAGAUACCGUCGUAGUCUUAACCAUAAACUAUGCCGACUAGGGAUCGGAUGAUGUUAAUUUUUUAAUGACUCAUUCGGCGCCUUA